rnacentral:rRNA from 1 species
UACGUAGGGGGCAAGCGUUAUCCGGAUUUACUGGGUGUAAAGGGAGCGUAGACGGCGAUGCAAGUCUGAAGUGAAAGGCGGGGGCCCAACCCCCGGACUGCUUUGGAAACUGUAUGGCUGGAGUGCAGGAGAGGUAGGUGGAAUUCCUAGUGUAGCGGUGAAAUGCGUAGAUAUUAGGAGGAACACCAGUGGCGAAGGCGGCUUACUGGACUGUAACUGACGUUGAGGCUCGAAAGCGUGGGGAGCAAACAGG